CCUACGGGAGGCAGCAGUGGGGAAUCUUGCGCAAUGGGCGAAAGCCUGCCGCAGCGACGCCGCGUGAGGGAUGAAGGUCUUCGGAUCGUAAACCUCUGUCAGCAGGGAAGAACGGUCACUGUGCUAAUCAGCAGUGAAUUGACGGUACCUGCCAAGGAAGCACCGGCUAACUCCGUGCCAGCAGCCGCGGUAAUACGGAGGGUGCGAGAGUUAAUCGGAAUUACUGGGCGUAAAGCGCUCGUAGGCGGUAUGUCAAGUCAAGGGUGAAAUCCCCGCGCUCAACUUGGGAACUGCCUUUGAAACUGGCAAACUUGAGGGUGUGAGAGGAUAGUGGAAGUCCAGGGGUAGGAGUGAAAUCCGUAGAUAUCUGGAGGAACAUCAGUGGCGAAGGCGACUAUCUGGCACAUAACUGACGCUGAGGAGCGAAAGCGUGGGUAGCAAACAGGAUUAGAUACCCGAGUAGUC
rnacentral:rRNA from 1 species